rnacentral:rRNA from 1 species
AUUGAACGCUGGCGGCAUGCCUUACACAUGCAAGUCGAACGGCAGCACGGGGCAACCUGGUGGCGAGUGGCGAACGGGUGAGUAAUGCAUCGGAACGUACCUUUCAGUGGGGGAUAACGUAGCGAAAGUUACGCUAAUACCGCAUAUUCUGUGAGCAGGAAAGCAGGGGAUCGCAAGACCUUGCGCUGAUUGAGCGGCCGAUGUCAGAUUAGCUAGUUGGUGAGGUAAAGGCUCACCAAGGCGACGAUCUGUAGCGGGUCUGAGAUGAUGAUCCGCCACACUGGAACUGAGACACGGUCCAGACUCCUACGGGAGGCAGCAGUGGGGAAUUUUGGACAAUGGGGGCAACCCUGUUCCAGCCAUGCCGCGUGAGUGAAGAAGGCCUUCGGGUUGUAAAGCUCUUUCGGCCGGGAAGAAAUCGCACGGGCUAAUACCCUGUGCGGAUGACGGUACCGGAAUAAGAAGCACCGGCUAACUAUGUGCCAGCCGCCGCAGUAAAAC